AGAGUUUGAUCAUGGCUCAGGAUGAACGCUAGCGGCAGGCCUAACACAUGCAAGUCGCGGGGCAGCACGGGUAGCAAUACCUGGUGGCGACCGGCGCACGGGUGCGUAACGCGUAUGCAACCUGCCCCCAUCAGGGGAAUAGCCCGCCGAAAGGCGGAUUAAUGCCCCAUAGGCCCAGGGCGCCGCAUGGCGCUAUGGGUAAAGCUCCGGCGGAUGGGGAUGGGCAUGCGUGCCAUUAGCUAGUUGGGGCGGUAACGGCGCACCAAGGCGACGAUGGCUAGGGGGUCUGAGAGGAUGGUCCCCCACACUGGUACUGAGACACGGACCAGACUCCUACGGGAGGCAGCAGUGAGGAAUAUUGGUCAAUGGGCGGAAGCCUGAACCAGCCAAUGCCGCGUGCAGGAUGACGGCCCUACGGGUUGUAAACUGCUUUUCCCCGGGAAGAAUAAGCCCCUCGUGAGGGUGAUGCCGGUACCGGGGAAUAAGGAUCGGCUAACUCCGUGCCAGCAGCCGC
rnacentral:rRNA from 1 species